GUCAGGCUGUGUCAGGGCAGGCUAGCUGCGACCUGCUGAGGUCCUGUAUCAAGCCUGAGUUAGGGGCUGUCAGAUGAGCGGUGCUGCCCCGCUGUAGCAGGCAGCUGUUGGCGCUGGCUACGAAGCGGGAAGUGAGUAUGAAGGUAAGGUAGCAAGCAGGCUCACAUGGCAUGGAGGACUCCCAGCCGUCCCAGGGCUGCCCUGGCCUCAGUUGCCCUUCCGGCUAAUUGCUGGCUCGCUCUUGCCUGGAUUCCUUCUGGAAACCAAGCAGAUUCCUGGUGAGAAAUGAAGCAAGGGACAAACCCCCAGCAGCAGCCUUCAGGCGGCCGCACUGCUGGUGGGGUGGAGCGAGAAGAGAAGCCUGCAGGUAACCACAGCCUGGAGCCGUUUUCCAGCAGUGACGAGCAAAGUUCAGCUUGUGACCAUCUAAAUAUACCAGAUUCCUGAUUGCAUUGUCGGAGCCUCGUUUCUACAUCUUUAUAACGCGGGUGAACAGGACUGAAGCGUCUCCUCGUUAUCUGCUUUGCCCUCCUGUGCACAGGCUGCCCCCACAGCAGAGCCCGCAGCCCCCGCAGAAAGGCAUGCGCUCUGUAGGUAAAUCUGUGGAUUCACCUGGUCUUUGCCAAUGAGUGCCAGCUAAACCCUUCUCUCCAGAGAUACUUUCAAGUACAAAGUGCUUCCAGGAUAUACAUGCAGACGAUUAUAAAGGAGACAGUAAUGUCUGAAAGGCAGGAUUUCCACGUCUUAAAACAGAUAUGCUCACAAGCCCAUUAAAGGUCAAUAGGCA